CGACGACGAAGAACACCGAUAGUGCUGGACUUGCUCGAUCGGAGAGUUGUAUUCCGAGGCUUAGGCUUGUUGAUUCAACCUCCUGCCAUGAAUCUGAAGAAGACAGAGAACAGUCAAACCAGAUGCAAUACAUUUGAAUCUCCUUUUAUCUAAACAUAAAGCUUUUCUCAGAUUUUCUGAAUAACAUUUGAAUCCAUGCUUAUCGAAUAUCAUUAAGGCUAAACCUAUUUCAGUUAAAUGGAUCCAUAAUCCAUUGCUUUUCAUGAGCAAAUAGUAAAAACAAAGUCAGAAAAUUUUCUAAAAGUAAUUUGUUUUUUUUAUUGUUUUACAAAUAUCACAUGGAUCUGUAUGUUACGGCUUACCACUUACCACAAUUGGUUCCGGUUGGAAUAAUUCUAAAAUGGUUCGUGCUCAUUAAUUUUUAAUUUCCAUAAGGGCGAACACAGCUGUUGUUGCGGGGUACAUGGCCUUAGGUACCGACCUAGGCACGAAUCCGAGUAGAUACACAGCCGGUACCAUUGUGGGCACGAAUCCAAGGUACCGAUGUGGGCACGUAUCCGAGAUACUGCCAAUUGAAGGAUAUUAGACCACAUGUAUGAUAAAGAAUUAUCUUUUGGUUUUUUAACGUUACCGGUAUAAUCAAUAAUUAUCUUUCACUUUUAGAGUAUUACAAUCAGUUUUUUCAAUCUCAUUUCAUUCACCAAAAGGUAGGAAAUGAUUAUCUUUCAUUAUCUUUAAUUUUAUUUUUAUUUUUUUUAAAUAUUUUAUAUAAAUAUUAUACUCGUUUUGUAGGGAAUUAAAAACCAUGAAUUUUAAUAUAUUUUUAAUAUAUAUAUAUAUAAUUUAAUAAAUUAAAAAAAAAACUAGAAAAAAAAAGAUUGAUAAUCACACAAGGAGAGAGAGUAACGGAUGGCCUCUCCUCACCCUUUCCCCGCCCCCCUUUUCACGUAGUCCCAAUCGGGGUGCAGUUUCUUUUCCCUAUCUCAUUUCCCACUCCGCACCCAUUGGUUUUACCUAUUAACUAACCUGUGAAUUUACUCUCUCUACCUUCACUCUUUUUUUAUUCUUUUUAUUUUGAAAUUCCGUUUACACAUGUAAAUACCUUUUUUAUAUCAUUUUAAAACCACAUAUUUUCUUCUAUGCCAUUUCAAUUCUUUUCAAUUUCAUUAUCACUUUCUCUGAUGUAAAUCUAAUUUCCUUUGAAGUGUUAUUCCCAGGCCAAUCCAAAUAUGCAUAAAAUGGUACGAACAGGAAGAAGUGGCGUUGCUGAAAACAUACAUUGACAUUUUCAGAAAUAACUAGGUAAAUCCAUAAAGAUCGGCAGGUGUUCAAAUCGUUCGAUGCAUCAAAUGGCUUAUGAAUGGAAAAAUAUGCGCACAAAUAUGAGUGAACAAGAUAGUGUGAGUGAUGUUGCUAUAAGAAUAAGUUUGUGUAGUAGAAACCAAAUGACUCAUUAAUGAAUCAUUAAGAGACCUGCAUGAUUUAGAGAGGUCUAUUGUUUGGUAA
rnacentral:lncRNA from 1 species